UAAUACGAAGGGUGCUAGCGUUGUUCGGAAUUACUGGGCGUAAAGCGUAGGUAGGCGGUCUACCAAGUCAGAGGUGAAAUCCCAGGGCUCAACCCUGGAAUUGCCUUUGAAACUGGUAGGCUAGAGAAUGUUAGAGGCAAGUGGAAUUCCUAGUGUAGGAGUGAAAUCCGUAGAUAUUAGGAGGAACAUCAAUGGCGAAGGCAGCUUGCUGGGACAUUACUGACGCUGAGCUACGAAAGCGUGGGUAGCAAACAGGAUUAGAUACCCUGGUAGUCCACGCCCUAAACGAUGGAUGCUAGACGUCGGGACUUAAGUCUCGGUGUCGUAGCUAACGCGUUAAGCAUCCCGCCUGGGGAGUACGGUCGCAAGAUUA
rnacentral:rRNA from 1 species